UCCAACAAUAUCUGAAAAUGGUAACAUGUUUUGUCUUUCUUCCUCUAUUCUUUUUCAGUGAGUGGCCAAAUGGAAAAAGAAAAUAUAAGUGAAAGAAGAAAUAGCAACCUAAAAAAAAGCUGUUUUGGGAAAGUCAUUUAUUUGGGGGAAUAGAAAAGAUUUUGAAAAUUGUGGAAGUUUUUAUGAACGACUCUUACCAUUUUUUCAGCCAGCUUGAACUGUGCAGGGACCUUAAUGGUGUGACUGUUCCAUCAGCGUGGCCCUUUGCUUGGAGCAAACAAGACAUUUGCUUGCAGACCCAUCUUGAAAAGCAUGUCAGAUGACUCCCUUGCAUCUCUGAUGGACUUGAAUUCUUGGUGGUGAGAGACCCCAAGUUCUUUUAGACCAUAUUUAAAUGAAAUACUAUUGACACCAUUCUGGAAGGAUCACACCUUUAAUACCUGCUUCAGAAACAAAUCCUGUUAUCUUCAGUAGGCAUUAAGCCAAGCCUUUGGAUCCCAGAGCAUCGUUUUAUUAUUUUUCAAUGUAUUCUUCAUACCAACUCCCAUUUUAGAAAGACUGUUCUUCUGGUUGAAUGGGGUGCGACGUGGCUCAUUCCUGAGUCCUGUCCUUCAAGGUCAGAUCUGAAUCGAUUGCAAUGGUGGCUGCAGAGUGGUGUGAGGGAUUAUCCCUCCCUAUAAUGCAUCUUUUAGAGCCUACUGGUUCUGGAAGCAAUGUAAAAUGUGUCCUAACAUGCAUCGCAGACCUGGAACCCGUUGAUGGUGAUAUUUGGUGCUUGGAUACCAAGGCAUAAGACCUUUAAUGGACUAGACUCUUGAGACCAGAUCAUCCUCCCGUUGAGGGAAAAUCAAUUUUUGUUACUGAUUUCAAUAGGAGCUGAACUGGGCUGCCUAAAAUGGGGGGGAAGGGGGAGGGGAGAUUUGUUUUCUGUACACCAGUGCAGCUCCUCUGAUUUUCAAGAGUGGGGAAUCUAGUGGAGAGUUUGUAAUGUGAUGUUAAAUACAUCUUAUCACCGCUGUAGAUCUCCCCUUCCUUUGCGAUGGAAAGUCUUUGGCAAAUUCUCAGAUUUUUACUCAGCUUGGAGCAGUCAGUUUUGCUUGGCUUUUUGAUCAAAUGUCACUCUACUUCUCUGGAAAAUGGAGUGAUUUUUUGUUAGAUCAGGAUACUUCAAAUGAUUUUGAUUGUCCCUUUAAACAUUGAAGUAUAUGAAACUGGUGAUCAUAUAGCAUUUCAUAUGCAAAUCUGGCAUGACAAUUCAAUAUUGCUUUAAUUGAAUUGUCUAUGUAUUUAAAUUGAAAUGAUCAACUGCAGAGCUAUAUUUGCCUAGGAAACCCAUUUUACAAACCCAGUUUAUUUUGAGGCUGACAGAAAUCAGUCUGCCUGGAAUUAAGGCUGGAAUCAGAAGCCACAAAGUCUCAGGCAUAUAUCUUUCUCUCUGUAGACUGCCUCUUUAAAUUGGUCUCAGUGAAAGAACAGCACAUUUAUAAUUUUAGCUUGUCCUGAAGGAGAACUCUUCUCUGUGGGAGGAUCCUCUUUAAUUACAACUUCACAGUAAUAAGAUGAGAAAUGAGCAAGCAAGAAAGUACUGCUGGAAUGAGACAUGAUAAAUCAGUUUGUCCAGGAAGCACGUUUAUGCCAGAUCUAUCACCACAUUCAGCACAGUGCUAUCUUUCUUAUUUCAAUAAGGAAAUCUCAUGAAGAAAUUUUAAUUGCAUACGAUUAGGUGAAAGUCAAUGUGCCAUAAUGAGCAAAGUGAAACCUGCAUUUUUUCUUCUUUUAUCUUCAUGCUUUGAGUUCCCAAGGAUUAACACAAAAUGAUUUGCCCUUAAAUUGCACCCUUUUUUUUUUGUUCAUUUGUCUGAAGGAUGUAGAUUUUAGGUAAUUUAAAAGGCACUGAGCUUUUGCUGUAUGCUUCAAGCCUGCAAGUUGGGAGUCAGAGAGAAAAACAUUCCAAUUUUCAAAGUCGCCUAUUGUUAAGGGUGACUGAGUGGCAGCCUGCAAUUAUAUGAUUUCAAUGUAAUUCAUUCAGUAGGGAAGAGGUUGGUUCAUAGAUGUCUGGCUUAAAAGAUUGGCAUUGCAGUGUGAUUAAUUUCCAAACUUUAGAGGUAUUUUCAACAACAUACAAUGGAAACAUGUGCCAUUGACAUUUUCUGGAUUUCUGGUAGGAUUGCUUUAUAAUUGA